GAUGAACGCUGGCGGCGUGCCUAAUACAUGCAAGUCGAGCGAACGGACGAGACGCUUGCUUCUCUGAUGUUAGCGGCGGACGGGUGAGUAACACGUGGAUCCCCUCCCUAUCAGACUGGGAUAACUUCGGGAAACCGGAGCUAACCCCGGAUGAUCUUUUGAACCGCGUGGUUCAAAAGUGAAAGACGGUCUUGCUGUCACUUAUAGAUGGAUCCGCGCUGCAUUAGCUAGUUGGUAAGGUAACGGCUUUCCAAGGCAACGAUGCAUAGCCGACCUGAGAGGGGGGUCGGCCACAUGGGAAGUUAGACACGGUCCAGACGCCUACGGGAGGCAGCAGUAGGGAAUCGGCCGCAAUGGGCGAAAGCCUGACGGAGCAGCGCCGCGUGAGAGGUGAAGGUCUUCGGAUCGUAAAACCCUGUUAUUAGGUAUGAACAGAUGUGUAAGUAACUGUGCACAGCGUGACGGUACCUAAUCAGAAAGCCACGGCUAACUACGUG
rnacentral:rRNA from 1 species